rnacentral:rRNA from 1 species
UACGCCUACGGGAGGCAGCAGUGGGGAAUAUUGGGCAAUGGAGGCAACUCUGACCCAGCAACGCCGCGUGAGCGAUGAAGGUCUUCGGAUUGUAAAGCUCUUUAAGCGGGGACGAAGAAAGUGACUGUACCCGCAGAAUAAGCCUCGGCUAACUACGUGCCAGCAGCCGCGGUAAUACGUAGGAGGCAAGCGUUAUCCGGAAUGACUGGGCGUAAAGGGUGCGUAGGUGGUUUGGCAAGUUGGUAGCGUAAUCCCGGGGCUCAACCUCGGUGCUACUACCAAAACUGUUGAACUUGAGUGCAGGG